AGCCCCCAGAGCCCACAGAUCACACCUGUACCUCUUCUUGAAGCAGAGCACCAGAGCCAACAGAGCUCACCUGUACCUCCUGUUCAAGCAGAAUAUGAGCACGGAGAUCGCCAGCCGGCAUUCAUGGAACCACAUGCACGUCAUGGAUCGAGUCUGCAAAUUGACGCGCCA